UCUUCAGUUUGAACCUUUUCCCACAAACUUCACACUCAUGACUUCUUGCAUCAGUGUCUGUAACAAGGUGUAAUUUGAGGGUACCCUUCUGACUGAAACAUUUCCCACAAACUUCACACUCAUGCUUUCUUUCACCAGUGUGUGUAAGAGUGUGUAAUUUGAGGUUACCCUUGUGACUGAAACAUUUCCCACAAACUUCACACUCAUGAUUUCUUUCACCAGUGUGUGUAAGAGUGUGUAAUUUGAGGGUACCCUUGUGACUGAAACAUUUCCCACAAACUUCACACUCAUGAUUUCUUUCACCAGUGUGUGUAAGAGUGUGUAAUUUGAGGGUACCCUUCCGACUGAAACAUUUUCCACAAACUUCACACUCAUGAUUUCUUUCACCAGUGUGUGUAAGAGUGUGUAAUUUGAGGGUACCCUUCCGACUGAAACAUUUUCCACAAACUUCACACUCAUGAUUUCUUUCACCAGUGUGUGUAAGAGUGUGUAAUUUGAGGUUACCCUUCUGACUGAAACAUUUCCCACAAACUUCACACUCAUGAUUUCUUGCACCAGUGUGUGUAAGGGUGUGUGUGUUGAGGUUACCCUUCUGACUGAAACAUUUCCCACAAACUUCACACUCAUGAUUUCUUGCACCAGUGUGUGUAAGGGUGUGUGUGUUGAGGUGACCCUUCUGAUUGAAACAUUUCCCACAAACUUCACACUCAUGGUUUCUUGCACCAGUGUGUGUAAGGGUGUGAUGUUUGGGGUUACUCCUAUUACUAAACCUUUUGCCACACUCCCGACUUUCAUGAGGUCUUACACCAGAGUGUG